rnacentral:rRNA from 1 species
UACGUAGGGUGCAAGCGUUGUCCGGAAUUAUUGGGCGUAAAGAGCUCGUAGGCGGUCUGUCGCGUCGAAUGUGAAAACCCGGGGCUCAACCCCGGGCCUGCAUUCGAUACGGGCAGACUAGAGUUCGGUAGGGGAGUCUGGAAUUCCUGGUGUAGCGGUGAAAUGCGCAGAUAUCAGGAGGAACACCGGUGGCGAAGGCGGUCUGCUGGGGUCGAACUGACGCUGAGGCGCGACAGCGUGGGGAGCAAACAGG